rnacentral:rRNA from 1 species
CCUACGGGUGGCUGCAGUGAGGCAUAUUGGUCAAUGGACGCAAGUCUGAACCAGCCAUGCCGCGUGCAGGAUGACGGCUCUAUGAGUUGUAAACUGCUUUUGUACGAGGUUAAACCCCGAUACGUGUAUCGGGUUGCAAGUACCUUACGAAUAAGCAUCGGCUAACUCCGUUCCAGCAGCCGCGGUAAUACGGAGGAUCCGAGCGUUAUCCGGAUUUAUUGGGUUUCAAGGGUGCGUAGGCGGUUUGAUAAGUUAGAGUUGAAAUGGCGGGGACCAACCCCGAAACUGCCUCUAAUACUGUUGGACUAGAGAAUAGUUGCGGUAGGCGGAAUGUAUGGUGUAGCGGUGAAAUGCUUAGAGAUCAUACAGAACACCGAUUGCGAAGGCAGCUUACUAAACUAUAUCUGACGUUGAGGCACGAAAGCGUGGGUAGCAAACAGGAUUAGAUACCCCAGUAGUC